GGGGGUGCACCGGCUUCGACUGGUGCGAUUCGGGGUAUAGGCUGCAGGUAGAGCGCCCAUCUCUUGAUUGGGCAAAACAAUUAACUGCCAAUAACGUCAGUUACGAUUACGCCUUAGCUGCGUAACCGCGUGGAACCGUUCCGCCGCCCUGAGGGACGGCUUCCGCGUCGCAAUCAGGGCUGGCCAUGCCGCCGUUUCCGGAGACGGUAUGGUAAGAUUACCGGAAUAAGGACGGGCCGCGCGCCGUUUAGCCAAGCCCGCCCCGACAAUUCAAUAAACAGCUAAACUUGUAGAAGCUUAUAUUUCGCGCAUUAGGACGGGGGUUCGACUCCCCCCACCUCCAG
rnacentral:tmRNA from 1 species